AGUUUGAUUAUGGCUCAGGAUGAACGCUAGCGGCAGGCUUAACACAUGCAAGUCGAGGGGCAACGCGAGUAGCAAUACUUGGCGGCGACCGGCGCAAGGGUGCGUAACGCGUGAGCAACAUGCCCGUAUCAGGGGGAUAAUCCAGGGAAACUUGGUCUAAUACCCCAUAGUAAUUUUGUAAGGCAUCUUAUAAGAUUUAAAGCUUUGGUGGAUACGGAUUGGCUCGCGUGACAUUAGCUGGAUGGUAAGGUAACGGCUUACCAUGGCUAUGAUGUCUAGGGGUUCUGAGAGGAAGGUCCCCCACACUGGAACUGAGACACGGUCCAGACUCCUACGGGAGGCAGCAGUGAGGAAUAUUGGGCAAUGGAUGGAAAUCUGAUCCAGCCAUGCCGCGUGAAAGGAAGAAGGUCCUAUGGAUUGUAAACUUCUUUUGUAUGGGAGCAAUAAGGCCUACGUGUAGGUUGAUGAGAGUACCAUACGAAUAAGCACCGGCUAACUCCGUGCCAGCCGCCGC
rnacentral:rRNA from 1 species